UACGGGGGGAGCAAGCGUUGCUCGGAUUUACUGGGCGUAAAGGGCGCGUAGGCGGCGCAACAAGUCACUUGUGAAAUCUCCGGGCUUAACUCGGAAAGGUCAAGUGAUACUGUUGUGCUAGAGUGCGGAAGGGGCAACUGGAAUUCUCGGUGUAGCGGUGAAAUGCGUAGAUAUCGAGAGGAACACCUGCGGCGAAGGCGGGUUGCUGGGCCGACACUGACGCUGAUGCGCGAAAGCCAGGGGAGCAAACAGG
rnacentral:rRNA from 1 species